GACGAACGCUGGCGGCGUGCUUAACACAUGCAAGUCGAACGGAAAGGCCCUGCUUUUGUGGGGUGCUCGAGUGGCGAACGGGUGAGUAACACGUGAGUAACCUGCCCUUGACUUUGGAAUAACUUCAGGAAACUGGGGCUAAUACCGGAUAGGAGCUCCUGCUGCAUGGUGGGGGUUGGAAAGUUUCGGCGGUUGGGGAUGGACUCGCGGCUUAUCAGCUUGUUGGUGGGGUAGUGGCUUACCAAGGCUUUGACGGGUAGCCGGCCUGAGAGGGUGACCGGCCACAUUGGGACUGAGAUACGGCCCAGACUCCUACGGGAGGCAGCAGUGGGGAAUAUUGCACAAUGGGCGGAAGCCUGAUGCAGCAACGCCGCGUGCGGGAUGACGGCCUUCGGGUUGUAAACCGCUUUCGCCUGUGACGAAGCGUGAGUGACGGUAAUGGGUAAAGAAGCACCGGCUAACUACGUGCCAGCAGCCGCGGUGAUACGUAGGGUGCGAGCGUUGUCCGGAUUUAUUGGGCGUAAAGGGCUCGUAGGUGGUUGAUCGCGUCGGAAGUGUAAUCUUGGGGCUUAACCCUGAGCGUGCUUUCGAUACGGGUUGACUUGAGGAAGGUAGGGGAGAAUGGAAUUCCUGGUGGAGCGGUGGAAUGCGCAGAUAUCAGGAGGAACACCAGUGGCGAAGGCGGUUCUCUGGGCCUUUCCUGACGCUGAGGAGCGAAAGCGUGGGGAGCGAACAGGCUUAGAUACCCUGGUAGUCCACGCUGUAAACGGUGGGUACUAGGUGUGGGGUCCAUUCCACGGGUUCCGUGCCGUAGCUAACGCUUUAAGUACCCCGCCUGGGGAGUACGGCCGCAAGGCUAAAACUCAAAGGAAUUGACGGGGCCCCGCACAAGCGGCGGAGCAUGCGGAUUAAUUCGAUGCAACGCGUAGAACCUUACCUGGGUUUGACAUGGAUCGGGAGUGCUCAGAGAUGGGUGUGCCUCUUUUGGGGUCGGUUCACAGGUGGUGCAUGGCUGUCGUCAGCUCGUGUCGUGAGAUGUUGGGUUAAGUCCCGCAACGAGCGCAACCCUUGUUCACUGUUGCCAGCACGUUAUGGUGGGGACUCAGUGGAGACCGCCGGGGUCAACUCGGAGGAAGGUGGGGAUGACGUCAAGUCAUCAUGCCCCUUAUGUCCAGGGCUUCACGCAUGCUACAAUGGCUGGUACAGAGAGUGGCGAGCCUGUGAGGGUGAGCGAAUCUCGGAAAGCCGGUCUCAGUUCGGAUUGGGGCCUGCAACUCGACCUCAUGAAGUCGGAGUCGCUAGUAAUCGCAGAUCAGCAACGCUGCGGUGAAUACGUUCCCGGGGCU
rnacentral:rRNA from 1 species